UACGGAGGGUGCGAGCGUUGUCCGGAAUCAUUGGGCGUAAAGGGCGCGUAGGUGGCCCCUCAAGCGUGCGGUGAAAGUCAGGGGCUCAACCCCUGAUCGGCCGUGCGAACUGGGGAGCUUGAGCACUGUAGAGGCAGGCGGAAUUCCGGGUGUAGCGGUGGAAUGCGUAGAUAUUCGGCGGAACACCAGUGGCGAAGGCGACUCACUGGCCCGAUACUGACGCUGAUGCGCGAAAGCGUGGGGAGCAAACAGG
rnacentral:rRNA from 1 species